AGCCCAGUUUCGCCUGCGCUUCCGGAAAAGACUUUCAAACCUGGGGUGGGGCGGGACUUGGUGCUCUGGGCGACCAAUGGGGCGAUAGCAAGGCGCGUGGGCUACCUGGCUUUGGGUUUCUCGGAACCAAAUUUGGUUUGACCCUAUCAAUACCUAUUCGGUACUCAGUUCUCAGGUUCCGUCCUCAAGACCCACAGCAUGACAAGCUUCCACACUGUCUCCCGCGAUGUACCCGAGAAAUGGUGAAAUAGUCACUUCCGAGCCUUGUCAUUCACCGGCCAGAAAGGACUUGCGACCUGGGACCAAGGUCGUACUCCCCUCGAGUGAUCCGCCCUCGUGUUUAUGAAAUGGAUUGUCUGACUGGUCCAGAGGACCCUUUAAGGUAGACUCUGGAGAAGAACCGGUCAGAAGUCUACUACAGGGACUGGACAGAUGGCUCAACGGCUAAGAGCACCACUAACUGUUCUUCCAGAGGUCCUGAGGUCGAUUCCCAACACUGACAAUCACUUGUAAUUUUCUGGUUUGUCUGGAAACACACCAGCUACAGUAUAUUCCUAUGCAUAAAAUAAAUAAAAACUUUUUCUAAAAAGGCUAUUCCAGCCGCCCCAGUAAGAGACAAUAAUGUAAACUUGGGAGAUGGCAAAGAAAGUUCAGAGAAGACAGAUUUGAGAGCCACUUUUACAUUUCUCUCCCCCCCACCCCUUGGCUUUUUGUUUGUUCAUUUUUGAAACAGUGUCUCUUUACAUGUUCUAGCUGUCCUAGAACUCACUAUGUAGACCAGGCUGGCCUCCAACUCUGAGAUCUGCCUGCCUCUGCCGACCAAGAAUUGGGAUUAAAGGUGUGAGCCACCAAUACCUUGACUACGUUUUUCAUUUCUGUACCCAUUACUAGGUUUUGGAGACACAGAGCCAAUAUGAGAGGAGAGAACAUGUGAUUUUUGUCCCUACUUCAAAGAAUUUAAUCUGGACAUCAGCAUAAAAUUAAAAAAAAAAAAAGAGAGGAGUUAAAGAUCCUAUUCCCCUAACCUUGUCUUGUGGGAGAGGAUGUCGAGACUUGCAGAAACUUGAUGUACCAGGUAGUUGAAGAAAUGAAAACUGUCACUCCUGCUGCUCAUUCUAGUUCACAAGUCUUUACAGGCACACAAGACCUUGGUUCUACUUCACCUUAAAGAGAAGUGAACAGCCAGAUGUUUGCUCCUUGGAACAUUACACCACAAGAAGAGAUCAUCCUGAUUUACAUAGAACGUUCCAGGGACAAAGAGUGGAGCAGAGUCUGAAGGAAAGACCAUCCAGAGACUGCCCCACCUGGGGAUCCAUCCCAUACAGACACCAAACUCAGACACUAUUGUGGAUGCCAAGAAGUGCUUGCUCACAAGAGCUUGAUAUAGCUGUCUCCUGAUAUACACAGAUUCAGAUGCUUGCAGCCAGCCAACCAUCAGACUGAGCAUGGGGACCCCAGUGGAGGAGGUAGGGGAAAGACUGAAAAAGUUGAAAGGAUUUGCAAGCCCAUAGGAAGAACAAUAAUAUCAAGCAGACCCCCUAGAGCUCCCAAGGACUAAACCACCAACCAAAGAGUACACAUGGAGGGACCCUAUAGUUCCAGCCACAGAUGUAGCUGAGGCUUGCCUUGCCUUAUCUGGCAUAAGGGGAGGCCCUUGGUCCUGUGAAGGCUUGAUGCCUCAAAUUAGAGUAAUGUUAGGGCAGUGAAUUGGGAGUGGAUGGGUGGGUGUGGGAGCACCCUCAUAGAAGCAUGGGGAGGGGGGAUGGGAUAGGGGGUUUGUGGAGGGGAAACUAGGAAAAGGGAUAACAUUUGAAAUGUAAAUAAAUAAAAUAACCAAUAAAAAUUAAAAGAAAAGAAAGUUCUAAGCCAGCUACAGCUGCACUGUGAUACCCUGUCUGAAAAGAAAAAUAAAACAAAAAGCCAAAAAUAAACAACAAAAAAUCCAAAGCAAUAAUACGCUUUUCUUUUAAAGUAGGGAAAAUUUUAAUGAAGGAAGACUUAUUGUGUUCACUUGUGGCCAAGUAUUUUGAUGCAAGAAAAUGGAUAGGCUUUUAUGAUCAAAGAGACAAGUGACAUCUUUCCUCUGUCAAUAAGAAAGUGCUUAGCAACAGUAGUGUUGAGCAACUGCAAGUCAUUGCCUCGAGCCUCCUUCCUGCUAGCCUAUGUGCCAGCUAGGUACAGAAGGGCACUCAGGAAGUGACUGCACUUGAUGAUCACAACCAAGUACAAAAGGACAAUGUUGAAACAGCAUGCAUGUGUUCACCGGUCACCACAGAUACAAUGUUUCUUCCAGUCUUGUUACAUUUGACAUACAUUUAUUUUCUGGGUUUUCCACACUCCUGGAAUCAUACAGAUGGACUUAACUGUCUUUAUUACGCUCCCAACCCAAAAUAACAAACAAACAAACCAAAACAACAACAGCAACAACAACAAAACCCUGCCCUUGCACCUAAUGAGAGAGCAGAGAAAGACGUGGGAGUAAAUAAACAGUCUUCAGGGUUUUGUAAUAAACCACUACAUUAGCUUUUGAUAAAGGUCCAAAUGAGUAUGAAGAUGGUGGGAAUGAGGAAGAAAAUUUGCUUCUUUCAUAAAGUAAUGCAAGAAACACAGACCAGACUGCAAAAGCCAAGUAAAUCAAAAGUUGGUAAAGCCUGUGAGUUCUAGAAGCACCUGGUUUUUCAAUGUGUAAAAUGUAUUUCGAUUUUGGAUUUAAUAACUCUGAGUCACAUUUAAGAUUUACAAUUUACGAAGCAGUUAAAAACCAAUUAAAUCAUAAUUAAACAAAAAAAAUCAUAUUAACACACCUAUAAUCCCAACUCUCAAAGGCAGGAGGAUUGCCAGGAGUUUGAGGCCAGUCUGGACUCUUUAGUGGAUGUCAAGCCAGCUAGAAUCUUUUUCUAUUAAAAAAAAAAGUAAAGGCAAAUUGGUGAGUGUAAAUAAUGGGGAUGCUGGAAACAGGUCUGAGAUAAGCUUUUUUUCUUCAUUUUGCAUGAUUUCUCACUGUAAAGCAGUAAUCACCAGAUAAGCAUCAAACACUCGAGUUAGUACAAAAAGGAAAAUCAAUACUCAAUGACUUACGUUUAAACUCUCUAGUCUCAUCUUCAGCUAGGUGGUUCACACCGUUAAUCUCAACACUCAGGAGGCAAACAGAGCUCUGUGAAUUCAAGGCCAGCCUUGAACUUCUAUGUAGCAAGUUCCAGGCCCACCCAGGGCCUAUCUAAAAGGAAAGAGAAUUUUAAGAUUUGCCAAGACAUCUCCAUGCUUGCAGCAUGAGGCUCAGUUACUGUCAGCCACACAGCCAAGAAUGUCAGAUUCCUUUACUAAAUAAUAUUCAGACUUUAUUCCCAAGAAGUCUACAUUGGACUUCUCCUGGCUAUGACAGUGCCAAGAGAAAUGGUUUAAAGGAUGAAUGAUUUGGGUUCACAGGGAUUCCAGUAUAUAGUCAGCUGACUCCCUUGUUUGGGGACCCAAAAUGAGCAGAGCAUCAUGGUAGAAGGGUUUGUUGGCAAAGAGAGAGACAGACUCAUCUCGUGAUAAACAAAGAGAGACUGGCAUAGAGACCAAGGCAAAUACGCUCUUCAAAGAUAGCCCAGGGGUCUACUUCCUCCAACCAGGCCUCACCUCCUAACAGCCUGUUUGGUUCUGGUUUUGGUUUUUUUUUAACAAAUUAAUAAUGGAUUAAUCCAUUGAUGAAGGUAUUCUCCUCAUAAUCUAAUUCAAUCUCAAUGACUGGACCCAUCAGCUGAGAACCAAGCCUUCAAGCCUUCAGCCUCGGAAGACACGUCAUCCAUGAAUCCCAGUGAAUUCCAAUUUCUUAACUUCAAAUGUUUCUCAUUUCCAGGAAGCACCUAGUCUCUAAGCUUUUAGUAUUAGAUUACGGACACGUAGCACUUAUCUUAGCCAGGGCCAUCUUAUUCAGUUCUUCACAUUCAUUUUUGCCAAUGAUGUAAAAUGCUUUAUUUGUCUACUCACUACCUAGGUCAUUUAAAAUAUUCACGCAUGCCCAGCAUUGCAACUCAUGUCUGUAACCCCAGCAGUUAAGAGGCUGAGAACCCAAAUCUGGACUACAUAUUGAUAUCCUACCUCAAAAAAUAACCUGGGGGUCAGGAGAUGGCAGAACUUGAUGGCAGAUAGGGGAACUUGACAUGAAGCCUGAUGAUGAGAUCUUGAUCAGGACAACCCAGCUUUCUUCUCCACUGGAAAGCCUGGGAGCUUUUGUGCAUGUGUGCGUGCCUGCGUGCCAGCCUGAGUAUGUGCCUGCAUACGUGCGUGCAUGCAUGCGUGCAUGUCUGCGUGCGGGCUAGUGGGUCCCCGGUUGGAAAGUGCACGUGUGUGCAUGUGUAGUUUGAACCCAGAAUCAUUCUACCACCAAGCUAUACCCCCAGAAACUAAGAGAUUCUUUUGAAAAAGUUUGAUUUAAUUUAUUUAACAUGUAUGAGUGUUUUGUCCACAUGUACGUCUGUUUACCACGAGUGCACUUGGUCCAAGAGGUGGUCAGAAGAGCCAGCAUGCCAAAAACUGUAGUUACGGAGUGAGCCACCGUGUGAAUGCUGGGACCAAACUCUGGUCCAACAAUGCUCUUAACUACAGAGCCAUCGCUCCAUGUAAUCAUAUUAAAUAAACAAUAGCUAGCAUUGCCAUUAUUAUUACAAAAAUAUUAUCUAGUAACCUUAGGCUUGCCUGGGUGCUAAGACUAGCUUCUGCCAUUUUUGGCAAUUUUAUAAUAGGGAAAAUCUUUUCAACUUAAGGAAUACAGCCCGCAAGUUGUAAGUAAAAGCACUUACUACUCAAACCAAAAUAGAAAUUUAUGUGAAAAUCAAGCUCCAAUUGUUUCAGGACAGACUGGGAAGAGCAGAGAGCUCCAGAGUCAAGCUAGCUGCCCUGUGGCUAUUCUAAUUGAGAGCCAAGAGAGUGAGACCCAAGGACUUAUCUGGGUUCAUGACCCAAAUCCAGACCAGUCCCCCUCGCCAACAAGGCAUCCCAUCAUUCAACACAAGGCAAAUGCAGUGCAUCCCAAUAACAGAAUCUGAAUUAUUUUUAUCUUGAAAUGUCCACACGACUUAAGCUUGUGGGAAGGUGUGCUUGCCAGAAAUAGAAUGACAACUUUAUUAUAGAAGAACACUUAACUGGAGCAAAUCUGGAUGCGGGCUCAAAUUUAAAUCAAUACAUUGUGUAAAAAAAAAAAAAAAAACAUGUAACAUGGAGUGACUCUUAAGUAGGUCUAUUUUUCGUGAAUUUUAAAAUUAUAUCCAUUCAAGCAAUAAUUUCAUAUUUCCACAUAGAGGACUUUUUAAUUCUACUUUUAAAUUUUAAUUAGGGGCUGGAGAGAUGUCUCAGUGGUGAAGAGAACCUGCUGUUGUUGGAGAGGACUGAGUCCAGUUCCCAGCAUCCACGUGGUGGCUUAGCUAUAACUCCAGUUCCAGGGGAUCUGGCUCCUUCUUCUGACCUUUGCAGGAAUGGGGCACACAUGUGGUGCACACACAGACAUACACACAUUCAAACACUCACACACAUUAGUCAAUAAUUUAGACAUAUUUCAUAUAAAGUAUAAAGAGAAAUUAUCCCGAAGAUCCAUCACCCACAGACUCCGGGAUCCUCACCGUUAGCAUCUGACCUGCUUGGUAUUUUUCAUUCCUAUACAUACACAUGCAAGUGCAUGUCCAAAUGUCCUCUUUGUUAGUAACUAUCUAUUUUAGAACCAGACAAUAUGUAUGUGACAUUUCUCAUGUCCAGCAUUGUAAAAUAAGUGGUGUCUUCAUUUUAAAAGUAAACUUCAGCCAUGCCAACCUGUAAUCCCAGUACUCUGUAGGAUGAGGCAGAAGGACUUCCCCGAGUUUGGAAGGCCAGCCCAGGCUACAAAUGGACUGCAGAAUGAGUGCUGGCCUGGUGUUUCACUGUCUCAAGCCACUGAGAUUUGAAAGUCAUUUUCAUACAAGCUGCACUCAUAUCAUGAAUAAAACCAUGAACGGUAUCUUGAAGUAGAAUGCUAUUAAAACAAAAAUAUAAAAUUGGCUGGGCGAUGUCGGCAUAUGCCCUUGAUCCCAGCACUCAGCAGGCAGAGACAGGUGGAUAUCCCUGAGUACAAGGAUAGCCUGGUCUACAGCUGGUCUAGAGCCUGGUGAAUUUCAGGUCAGCCAGGGAUAAACAGAGAGACCCUGGUCUUAAAGAAGCCAAAAACAAACUGAAAGGGCAACACGAACCCCAUUUUUCUCCAUUUAAGGACCAGGUGCUACAAAAGACACCGUAAGGCACCAGCUUCAGGAAUAGACCAUAAGUCCCAGAAACCAAGUCAUAAGACAGCAGCUCUAGGAAUAGACCACAAAAUCCAGAACAAGAUCAUAAACCCCUCUCCCAAAGAACAGAUUGGGGAUAACCACAAAAAUGGGGACAUAACUUAUUUCAGAAAAGGCCAUCUGUGCUAGGCAGCCCUAGUUCAUUACAUGGUUGAAUGUUCAUGACAGAGGAAUGCAAUCUACUGACCACCUGUGAGCACCAAGCACCCACCAAUGAAAUUUUAGAUCACCUAAUCCUUCUAGAGAGUUCCCCCCAGUUCCCUAUAAGAAGGCAGGUGCCUUUGUCUGGAGUCACCAUUUCAAAGAAUGGUUGACCCCCGCGUGCUGGUUAUUUCUGCAGAAUAAACACUCUUCGUUUUUGCAUACUAUGAGUCUGGGGCCUUCCUUCAGCUGCUUUUGGACCCUUAUGAAACAAACAAAGAAGGUGACACUGACUACCAGUUAUGGGGGAAAAAAGAAAGCUGACAGAAGAGGCAGAAAAGUUGGCAGUCUGUGAUCUGCGGUGGCAAAGCACUUGGCAACAAUCAUUGUAAUAAUAACUUAGAAGGCAAGCCAUAUGCUUACUAAUCUGUCAGGUUCAAGUGAAGCAGCUACAGGGAGCCAAAUUCUUCGUGUAUAUUGACUACUAUUGGCUAGCAAGUACUGGCAAUUUGCAGAAAGGAAAUUGGGAAGAUGAUGUUUGGAAUCUUAAACUAAACUACUUGUAGAUCUCAAAUUGUGGGAAACUAUCCUGAAGUGAACUACAGUAACGGAAGCCUGUUCACUUACCUCUUUACGGCAGAGAGCGCGUUCAAGUUGUAGACUCCCAUUGGUGCUGGAACCAUCCCAGGGCCUGCCACUAAGCUGCAUUAUCAAAGAGGAGGCACCAAAGGACAAAGAAGACUGAGAGUAGAUCAAGAAAGCAUUGAGGAAUAGGAACUGUUUAUGAAUGCAAUGUAAACUUAAAUUUCUGAAGAAGUUGUGUUUCCGUAGAAAACAAAAGCCUGGGAUAAAGACUAGUAGUAGAGGAAUAAAACAGCUCUCAGAUACCCCCAAGAAGGACAUGGACUGCAAAAUCUACAUAUCCUCAGAGAAAUCACCAAGCUUUGAAGCCACACAACAAAGGGACAUACCAAGGAACAAAGAGGAAUUUUAGUGUGGACAUGUAAAAGUAUGGGCUUUUCUAUGCCUGUCCUUGUUCCGAAGUAAAUUCCAUGGAGACCUAGUAUAUUUAUUAACAAGCAUCUGGCUCUAAGCUGGACAAAGUCUACACUGUUGUAAUCCGCCUAUGUUGGCUUGGGCUACGUCCCAGCCACGUGACAUUAGCCUACAUCCUGGUCUCACUCUGGCACCGCCUUCUUCCUCUGUCUCCCAUGGAGACUCUCCCAUAGUGACUCUCCUCUCCACCCAGGACCUCCUCAUUGGAACUGGAAGUCCCACCUCCUUCUCUCCUGCCCAGCUAUUGGUUGAUCAGCUCUAUAUUUACCCUUCAGAGGUGAUGGGAAACAACUUUUACACAACGUUGAGGUAGAAUAUGCUUGACAAUAGCAGAUCUCUGGGCACAGUAAUCAACAUCUGAAUAUACACGGCACAAAACCAUCCUUCAGCACAAGGACGGAUGAUUGGAACGAUCUUCUCUGGUAGAAUUCUCUGGUGGAUUCCCAUGAAGAUGAAAUUGAUGUUGGCAGGAGAGCGGAACAUCUGGGGAUCAUCAGAUAAAAUGAAAAAGGCCAGACCCCCAAAUACUGUUGCUAUGUGUUUUCUCUUGCAUAUGGA